rnacentral:rRNA from 1 species
UACGUAGGGUGCAAGCGUUAAUCGGAAUUACUGGGCGUAAAGCGUGCGCAGGCGGUUGUGUAAGUCUGUCGUGAAAUCCCCGGGCUCAACCUGGGAAUUGCGAUGGAGACUGCACGGCUAGAGUGUGUCAGAGGGGGUAGAAUUCCACGUGUAGCAGUGAAAUGCGUAGAUAUGCGGAGGAACACCGAUGGCGAAGGCAAUCCCCUGGGCCUGUACUGACGCUCAUGCACGAAAGCGUGGGGAGCAAACAGGAUUAGAUACCCGUGUAGU